rnacentral:rRNA from 1 species
GAUGAAUGCUGGCGGCGUGCCUAACACAUGCAAGUCGAGCGGCAGCGCGAGUAGUUUACUACUUGGCGGCGAGCGGCGGACGGCUGAGUAACGCGUGGGAACGUGCCCCAAAGUGAGGAAUAACUGCCCGAAAGGGUGGCUAAUGCCGCAUAUGAUCUUCGGAUUAAAGGAUUUAUCCGCUUUGGGAGCGGCCCGCGUCGGAUUAGGUUGUUGGUGAGGUAAUGGCUCACCAAGCCGACGAUCCGUAGCUGGUCUGAGAAGAUGAUCAGCCAGACUGGGACUGAGACACGGCCCAGACUCCUACGGGAGGCAGCAGUGAGGAAUCUUCCACAAUGGGCGAAAGCCUGAUGGAGCAACGCCGCGUGAAGGAUGAAGGCCCUCGGGUUGUAAACUUCUUCUAUAAGUGAAGAAUAUGACGGUAACUUAUGAAUAAGCACCGGCUAACUACGUGCCAGCAGCCGCCGUAAGAC